rnacentral:rRNA from 1 species
ACAGUCACACAUUAGAUACCCGGGUAGUCCUGGCCGUAAACGAUGGGUACUAGGUGUAGGAGGUAUCGACCCUUCAGUGCCGGAGAGAAGUUGUUAAGUCUGCUACUUGGGGAGUACGUCCGCAAGGCUGAAACUUAAAGGAAUUGGCGGGGAGCACCACAACAGGUGGAGCCUGCGGUUUAAUUGGACUCAACGCCGGAAAUCUCACCGGAUAAGACAGCAGAAUGAUUGCCGGGCUGAAGACUCUGCAUGACUAGCUG